UUAAGCUCAAAACACCAGUUCUUGUUCUAUCACCAAAGUUAAGCAAUGUUGAGCUGAGUCCUUACUUAGAUGGGGGAUCACUUGGGAACACUGGGUGCUGU